rnacentral:rRNA from 1 species
AACGAACGCUGGCGGCAUGCCUAACACAUGCAAGUCGAACGAACCUUUCUGGUUUAGUUUCGGGCUGGUGAGUAACACGUUGGAACGUGCCUGUAUGUUCCGAAUAACUCAUGGAAACUUGUUCUAAUACCGAAUGUGCCCUUCGGGGUAAUGAUUUAUCGCCUUUAGAGCUGCCCGCGGCUGUUUAGCUAGUUGGUUUAGUUAAUGGCUCACCACGGCGAGGAUCUGUAGCUGUUCUGGGAGGAUGAUCAGCCACAUUGGGACUGAGACACGGCACAAGCUCCGACGAGAGGAAGAAGUGGGGAAUCCUGCGGAAUGGGCGAAAGCCUGACGAAGCCAUGCCGCGUGAAUGAUGCAGGUCUUAGGAUUGUAAAAUUCUUUCGGCGGGGACGAUAGUGACGGUACUCGGAGAAGAAGCACCGGCUAACUUCGUG